ensembl:lncRNA
CUCGGCUCCACAGAGACCUCUCCCAGCUCCUGCCACCUCCCAUCAAAUAGAGAGGGGCACCAUGACAACCCCCACCUCAGACUGGUCGCCCGUGGGCUACCAGAGCAGCCAUCAGGGAGAGGACACCCCCACACCAGCAUCCUCCUCUCUCUCUUCCUCCCCUGUCCUUCCUAUCAUCUCUCUCCCCGUCCGCUCUCCUUCUAUACUGUCCCCUUCACAGGCACCAAAGGAGCAGAGGGCCAGGAGGACGAUUGUAGCAGCCACCACACCGCGAGGUCCCUGUGUCACAACAGCCGAGUGCACAAUCCAGACAUCAGAGGAUGAGUCGGAUGAGGAGGGACCACAGCCAAUCACACUGGUCCCGGACACAGCUCCCCCCUCCCCUCGAAACCCACCACUGAUAGAGGUACACACUCAUCAUCCCCCCAUCCUUCCCACGCCGCCACAGACGGGGUCAACGACACAGACCAACCUCUCCUUCACCAGACCUACCAGAAUCUCCACACUGGUGACCAGGAGGCCGUUCCGGCAUCUCAACACCUUAAACAAAAUCAAAGACUGGAGGAUCCAUCAUAAGCAAAAAACUGUUAUCAUGGGGGACUCAAACCUUUACAGAAUACCCCCCUUCACACACCAGGACCUCCAGAUAGACAGCUACCCCGGGGCUACCUUCAGGCACGCAGAGUCCAUCCUGGCCAAGUCACAGGCCUCUCCCAUGGUCCAGAAGCUCGUCCUGGCCUUCGGGAUCAACAACAAAGCACAGUGUCCUGAAAAAACAUCCAUCAGACAACUACAGGGGGCCAUCAGGAUGGCCAAAAGAGCAUGCCCCAACGCCCAGGUACUGGUUCCUUUAAUUAACUUUUCCCCAGACCUGCCCAAAAGGGAGAGAGUCAACCUCAUCCGCCUGAACGAAUACAUCUCCCGAAACCUCCUCGCCAUCCCUACACUACCAGAUGACCUUUUUGACACUGAAAAGGACAAGGUCCACUGGUCCCAGAACACAGCGAGGCGUCUCCUUGACCACUGGGUAAAUCACCUAAACAUGUAAGCCCCGUGAACCCGAGUCAAGAGACGGGGGAUAAGAAUGUGUUCAAUUUAUCUAACAUGUUUACCCCUACGGGGGCCCAACUCUCUCUCCUAUGCAGGGGGCUAACCUUCAUCCCUGUAGUGGACGGCCAUGACAGCCACAAAACCAGAAACCAAAUUAGACAUGAUAUACAACAAUAUCACAGAAGACUGAGACUGGCCGUCUACUACAGGGACCAACCGGACUCAACACCACCUCCCUUCAUUCACAGGUCGACCUGGGUCCCUCCCAGAGAUGCUAUGCCACCCAGUGUACUGAACCUGAUCUCCUCAGACUUAGAGUACUUCCAUAAUGAAUUUCGAACUAGUAGGUUGAAACCAAAUUUAAACCCAUGGGAAUUAGAAGCACAUAAGGCCCUAGUAAAUAACAAAGACAUUAUUAUUAAACCAGCAGACAAGGGCAGUGCCAUUGUGAUUAUGGACAGGGAGCAAUAUCUCUGGGAGGGAUACAGACAACUACAUGACACCACAUAUUACACAAAGCUGCCUAAACCCAUCUACAAAGACACCAUCCCCAUGGUGGAUAAAAUCCUCAAAUCACUUUUCACAAAAAGGUUCAUUAACCACAAACAACUCCUUUACCUACAGGGGAACUCUGAACCCAGGGCCAGGCUGUUCUACAUGCUCCCCAAAAUCCACAAGCCCAGACCCUCAUGGAACAGAGCCGGGGAGAUCCCCCCAGGGCUGGGACUGCCUGGAGGCUGUGGUCCUCGAGGCCAACCCCAGGUGGUCCACACCCCAGAGAAGGAGAGCUGAGAGACUCUGGAUCACCAGACUCAGCACAACACAACCGAUGGGCCUGAAUGAGAGGUGAGGGCCCG